rnacentral:rRNA from 1 species
GGAGGGUUAGAUUCCCUCCCGCUGUAAGACCAAGGUUUCCCGGGCAAUGCCAAUCAGCCCGGGGUCAGUCGGGUCCUAAGUCUAAGCCGAACGGCGAUGGCGAUGGCAGAGACGGUUAAUAUUCCGUCACUGCCGCAUGGGGCGACGUGGAGACGGAGCAGUGAAACCACCGCGGGGCGACGGAAGUCCCCGUUGAAGAGUGUAGGCGUUGAGGAUGGCAGGCAAAUCCACCGUCCGAGCUGAACUUGAGAGUAUGGAGUCUUCUUCGGAAGAAUCCAAUAGUGUGGGUAAUCAUACUCCCGAGAAAAUCCGCUAAGCUUAACCCAUGCGGCACCCGUACCGCAAACGGACACACGUGGUCGGGUAGAACAUACUGAGGCGUUGAGAGAUUCAUGGUUAAGGAACUAGGCAAAUUGACCCUGUAACUUCGGGAUAAAGGGUCCUCGUGAAUAGCGAGGCGCAGAGAAUAGGUCCAGGCAACUGUUUAACAAAAACACAGGGCUGUGCAAACUCGAAAGAUGACGUAUACAGCCUGACACCUGCCCGGUGCCGGAAGGUUAAGAGGAGAUGUCACUCGCAAGAGGAAGCAUUGAAUUGAAGCCCCGGUAAACGGCGGCCGUAACCAUAACGGUCCUAAGGUAGCGAAAUUCCUUGUCGGGUAAGUUCCGACCUGCACGAAUGGUGUAAUGAUCCGGACGCUGUCUCAACCAUGAGCUCAGUGAAAUUGUAGUAUCGGUGAAGAUGCCGAUUACCCGCGAUGGGACGAAAAGACCCCGUGAACCUUUACUACAGCUUAGCAUUGACCUUGGUCAUCCGAUGUGUAGGAUAGGCCGGAGGCUUCGAAGCGGGAGCGCCAGCUUUCGUGGAGCCAUCCUUGAAAUACGGCCCUUUGGCUGUCUGAGGUCUAACGCGCGAUGCGCGGACACUGCUUGGUGGGUAGUUUGACUGGGGUGGUCGCCUCCAAAAGCGUAACGGAGGCUUCCAAAGGUGCCCUCGGGUCGAUUGGUAACCGACCUCAAAGAGUGCAAUGGCAUAAGGGCGCUUGACUGGGAGGCAGACAUGCCGAGCAGGCAGGAAACUGGGGCAUAGUGAUCCGGCGGAUGAUGUAUGGAAACUCCGUCGCUCAAAGGAUAAAAGGUACUCCGGGAUAACAGGCUGAUCCCCCCCAAGAGCUCAUAUCGACGGGGUGGUUUGGCACCUCGAUGUCGGCUCGUCUCAUCCUGGGGCUGGAGAAGGUCCCAAGGGUUGGGCUGUUCGCCCAUUAAAGUGGCACGCGAGCUGGGUUCAGAACGUCGUGAGACAGUUCGGUCUCUAUCUAUCGUGGGCGUGGGAGUUUUGCGUGGUGCCGUCACUAGUACGAGAGGACCGUGAUGGACAGACCUCCGGUUUACCAGUUGUGCCGCCAGGCGCACCGCUGGGUAUCUGAGUCUGGAUUGGAUAAGCGCUGAAAGCAUCUAAGUGCGAAGCCAGCCGCAAGAUGAGAACUCCAUUGAGGGUCGUCAGAGACGAUGACGUUGAUAGGAUGCAGGUGUAAAGACAGCGAUGUCAAAGCCGAGCAUUACUAAUUGCUC